CAUGGAGUCCUGCACAUCUCCCCGGGGUUGGUGAGCUGCUAUGUGCCUAUUCUCCAAUGAUGCAUAGAGAGGAGGGAAACAAUGGGCAGGCAUCGGACAUGAGGUCUGACUGCCAGGAAACACAAAGCAGACAGGACAAAAGACACAGCAGUGACAGCACCCACCCACAGCAUCCUAAAACUGAUGCCUCUUACUCCUGCUCACCCCACCUACUGUGUUUUGAAUCCAAAAUGUCCCCAAGUCCAUGAUCUCAAUGUUUGACCUCAGUGGGUGACACUAUUUUGAACCCUUAGGAAAUGAGGCCUAGCUGGCUGAGGUAGAGCAAUAGGGUAGGCCUUUGAUGGUUCUAGCUCAGCCUCUGAGGCCAGCAUUCUCUGCUUCAAACUACUGCCACCACAAAUGGAGUCUUGCCACCAUGCCUUCACAGGUGAGACUGAAACCGGAGUGAACCGGAAUUAACUGGAAUGAACCAGAAUGAACUGGAAUGAACCGGAAUGAACAGGAACGAAGACGCUAACAGUGACAUAAUUAUGAUGAGCACACCUCUUUUUGUGGUGACAUCAGGUCACAAAGAAAAAUGAAAAGAUGCCAAGGUGUUUGUGGAGGUGAGAUGUGGCAAAGGGCCACCAAUUGUGUGUGCACCCUCCUGCGUGAGGAUUAAAGUCACCCAAAUGCCAUGGAGAGGAGAUCCCAAAUAUUCAUGUGUUAUUAAAAUGUUGAGCAUUAACUUGUAAGUGCGAACUUCUGCAUCUUUCUAUAUAUACUAAAACAUAUACAUUUUAAAACAUAUACAUAUACAUAUAUGUAUACCCUAAGACAGAGAAAUUAACAGAUAACAUCCCAAAGCUAACUUUAGCAUGUUGAUUUGGUAUAAAAUGACCCAAAGAGACAUUUUAUGGGCUUAACAGAAUAAAGUUUGUCUUCCUUGG
ensembl:lncRNA LOC120095116 uncharacterized LOC120095116